rnacentral:rRNA from 1 species
AAACCGUUGAAAGGGAAGCGAAUGGAGUUAGCAAUUCGCCCUGCCAGAUUCAGUUGUUCGCGCUUCGCAACGUGCACGCUCUCGAUCCGCAUGGACGUGACGUGCGCGCGUGCGACGUGCGGACGGCGCACUUCUGGCGGGCGAGCGUCAGCGUCGGUCGCCGACGGGCGAUAAGGUCGCGAGGAAGGUAGACGUGCCUUCGGGUGCGUUGUUAAGACUCGCGUUCGCAUAGCUCGACGGCGACCGUGGCUCCUUCACACGGAGGCGACGCGUGCCUGGCUGGCGACUCGUGCU